UACGGAGGGGGCGAGCGUUGUCCGAAGUUACUGGGCGUAAAGCGCGCGUAGGCGGGUCGAAAAGUCCGCUGUGAAAGCCCGAGGCUUAACCUCGGCGGGUCGGUGGAUACUGUCGGUCUUGAAGGUGCUAGGGGGAGAUGGAAUUACCGGUGUAGCGGUGAAAUGCGUAGAUAUCGGUAGGAACACCAGUGGCGAAGGCGGUCUCCUGGGGCAUUCUUGACGCUGAGGAGCGAAAGCCAGGGGAGCAAACGGG
rnacentral:rRNA from 1 species